AUGGAAACGAGGAGUUGAGAGUUAGGAGAGCAGCAUCCCACCGAGGGGACAAAUGCAAAGCCAUUAUAGGAAAGGGCGAUAGAAGAUGUACUCACAGGUACCUUUGUGAACAGACAAGAAGGGAAGGCAAUAAAACAACCCCAAGGACGGGACUGCAUGAGAAAUAAGGGGCUGCUGUAGAGUCACCACAUUGAAAAUGAUGGAGCUGCAGAAGGAGCAGAGACUGUCCUUUGCUGGAACUGGAUCCAGGUACUCACUGUCGUGGGGACACAUCUCCACCAGCCCUGCGGAAUUUGUAGCCUCUGAGCUGCCAAUUUAGAACCCACUCAGAGCUAUGGGACUUCGUGAUCUGGAGAGUAUAAUUCUAAAACAACAGAAGGGGAAAUGCAUUCUCAAGGUUAUCUUCAAGUACAGAACUUCCUCCUCAAUAUCUGUGUAGAAAAUAACUCAGUCAUAUGGCAUAUAGAGAACUAACAAUUUGGAACUUCGAAAGAAGCACAAGAAUUCAGUUCAGAAAGGAAGGUGAAAACUCAAAGUAUCAGAGAAAACUUGAAAUAAGUAUAUUUAUAAUUCAUAAACAUGCAAUGGAAGGAAUAGUGUCUAAAAUGGGACAGCAUCUAUGAAAUAAAAUCAGAAUAAUUGGAUAGAAAACCUAAGCAAUAAUAAGCGCAAGAAAAAUGAAACAAAACAAGGAAUCAUAACUCUGAAACUUCAUUUUUAUUCACUAAUCUUGCCAUGUGUAAUAAACACAAGUUCUUUGCACCUGUUGACUAUAACAUUGUUUUAUUGCUGUGUUAAGCUCACGGCAGGUGAUACGGGGAGAUCUGGAAGUGAAUUCCGGUUCUUCACUUGCAUGCCAUAUCUAGUUGUGGAAGAUAUUGGAAGGAGCUGGACCCUGAACAUGGAGAGCCUAGUAUGCCUCUCUGCCUGCUUUCUGCUCGUUGUAUGGAAUAUGGCAAGUUGCUUAAACGUUUUGGGAAUUAGUUUUCCCAUCCACGCGAUCCAUAGUGGAGCUACACGGGCGAGGAAGAUAAAGUAUAAUAUACGAACGACAGUGACCAGGAUAUUGAGAAGAGAGCAAAAGCGUAAUGUUCAUGCUCGAAGAGGUCUGUGUUACACACUGUACACGGUGGAGGAAAUAAAAGAAUGGCUUCACGCCAGCAUCAGACAUGUUCACUGAAUGCUUUUCAGCGACAAAAGUAACAGCUAAUGGAACCCUAAGAG
rnacentral:lncRNA from 1 species